CUGCCAGUCAAGGGGGAGGAGGAUUUUUUGAGUGAGUGAUGGUGAAAGCUCUGGUCCACAUAUGACAGAAGAAGUGACACCAACCACCAGAGGCUGCAGGCUGGGCUGAUUUGAUGUUGAACACAAUCAAGUUCCCAGCCUCCAUCUAAGCCCAUGUGCAUACAACCCCAUACUCCCACCAUGCCUAAGUGACUGUUCAGUUUCAGAUUACUGCCAAUUAAAACACAGAAGAAGAAGAGGUCCAGGAAGGAGAUCACAUUGCACCAAGGAGGAGUGACUGGAGGCGCUGCCGAAACACACAGUGCCAUCUAAUGGAGGAGCCACCGCGUGUAACCCGAGCAUCCAGGCGGGGAAAAACAAGUCCACACUGGAUCUGUGUCAAGCCACAAGCACACCAGGAAUUUUUCAACCAAUAGAUGAUUCCUGACAAAAACGUCAUCUCUAAGUUUAGCAUUUUUCAUUAUCAGGCUGCAUACGUGUGUAACUGCAGCAAAACCCAGGGGCUGAGGCUGCAUUCUCUUCUUUGGGGGUGCACUAUAGCAGGGUACCAGAGGAAAGCACACCAACACAAGCUGGUGACACAUUCUAAAACGUGCCAGACACCUACAGAAGGGUGGAGGAAAAAGAAUUAAGCUUCAGUGUUGCUCUCGUCUCCCCCAGAAUCAGCCCUCCCACGAGGCAGUAACAGCACACAGCACCCUGCCAUGGGUGCCUCUGCUCAGGGCUCUUGCAAGAUCCACCAUGGGCUGCAACUCCACAUCAGAAAAAAAGUGGUUCCUUCUAUAAAUACAAUUUGUGGGAAUGAAAUGGUAAUGAAAAGUCCUUAUAUGGUUUUUCAAACCCAAACCAUGUCAUAGCUGGGAGGGGAUUUGCAGGAGGUGUUAAAUUAGACAGUUAUUUUUAACUGCGGCUGGUUAAAAAAUAAAGAGAGAGAUUAAAAAAAAUAAAAAAGGAAAAAGAAAGAAUGUCUGCAUUUUUAAUAGAUAACAAAAAUUACAAUGGUACUUGUAUUCCAAAAUCCUCAAGCCUUAGAAAAAUAUCUUAGGAAGGCAAUACAAAUUGAAGUUCAUUAUACAAAUAAAAAGAAUGCUGAACAUUCAUAUGACAGACACAAAAAAAGGCCAAGAAAUAAACUUUUCUCAGUGGAAGAUUUGUUAAAAAUACCUCUAUAUUAGAAUGAUACCAGAAGACUAAUUUUGAGGCAAUUUUAAUCCUUGAUUCUCUAAUUAUUUUAGUCUUUGAAAUUUCAAAGUAUAACUGCAUAGGGUAAAAUAAUUUGGCAUUUUGAAAGUGCAUAAUAUCCUCCUGAUAGUUAGCAGAAUGUUUUUCAAAUUCAUAUGGCGAGAUACAUAAUGAUAUCAGCAUAUAUGACUAACAUGUAACUCACACCUGGGCUGCCACAUCCUUCUAGAAAUUAUAAGGAAGCUCUUUAUUUCAAAGAGCUUCCCUAACCUUAGAGUCCAGUGAUAAUAUAUUUAUAUGCCACAUUUUAUUCAAGGCUGAUUAAAUCCAUA